rnacentral:rRNA from 1 species
ACGUAGGUGACCAGCGUUGUCCGGAUUUACUGGGCGUAAAGGGCUCGUAGGCGGCCAACUAAGUCGGACGUGAAAGCCCUCGGCUUAACCGAGGAACUGCGUCCGAUACUGGAUGGCUUGAGGUUGGGAGAGGGAUGCGGAAUUCCAGGUGUAGCGGUGAAAUGCGUAGAUAUCUGGAGGAACACCGGCGGCGAAGGCGGCAUCCUGGACCAAUUCUGACGCUGAGUGAGCGAAAGCUAGGGGAGCAAAC